rnacentral:rRNA from 1 species
AUUGAACGCUGGCGGCAGGCCUAACACAUGCAAGUCGAGCGGAUGAAGGGAGCUUGCUCCUGGAUUCAGCGGCGGACGGGUGAGUAAUGCCUAGGAAUCUGCCUGGUAGUGGGGGAUAACGUCCGGAGACGGGCGCUAAUACCGCAUACGUCCUGAGGGAGAAAGUGGGGGAUCUUCGGACCUCACGCUAUCAGAUGAGCCUAGGUCGGAUUAGCUAGUUGGUGGGGUAAAGGCCUACCAAGGCGACGAUCCGUAACUGGUCUGAGAGGAUGAUCAGUCACACUGGAACUGAGACACGGUCCAGACUCCUACGGGAGGCAGCAGUGGGGAAUAUUGGACAAUGGGCGAAAGCCUGAUCCAGCCAUGCCGCGUGUGUGAAGAAGGUCUUCGGAUUGUAAAGCACUUUAAGUUGGGAGGAAGGGCAGUAAGUUAAUGCCUUGCUGUUUUGACGUUACCAACAGAAUAAGCACCGGCUAACUUCGUG